AUACGGAGGAUCCGAGCGUUAUCCGGAUUUAUUGGGUUUAAAGGGAGCGUAGGUGGACAUGUAAGUCAGUUGUGAAAGUUUGCGGCUCAACCGUAAAAUUGCAGUUAAUACUGUGUGUCUUGAGUACAGUAGAGGUGGGCGGAAUUCGUGGUGUAGCGGUGAAAUGCUUAGAUAUCACGAAGAACUCCGAUUGCGAAGGCAGCUCACUGGACUGUUACUGACACUGAGGCUCGAAAGUGUGGGUAUCAAACAGGAUUAGAUACCCUGGUAGUCCACGCAGUAAACGAUGAAUACUCGCUGUUUGCGAUAUACGGCAAGCGGCCAAGCGAAAGCAUUAAGUAUUCCACCUGGGGAGUACGCCGGCAACGGUGAAACUCAAAUGAAUUGGCGGGG
rnacentral:rRNA from 1 species